rnacentral:rRNA from 1 species
GCGGCGUGCCUAAUACAUGCAAGUCGAGCGAAGUUUUUCUGGUGCUUGCACUAGAAAAACUUAGCGGCGAACGGGUGAGUAACACGUAAAGAACCUGCCUCAUAGACUGGGACAACUAUUGGAAACGAUAGCUAAUACCGGAUAACAGUAUUUCUCGCAUGAGAGAUAUUUAAAAGUUGGUUAUGCUAACACUAUGAGAUGGCUUUGCGGUGCAUUAGCUAGUUGGUGGGGUAAAGGCCUACCAAGGCGACGAUGCAUAGCCGACCUGAGAGGGUGAUCGGCCACACUGGGACUGAGACACGGCCCAGACUCCUACGGGAGGCAGCAGUAGGGAAUCUUCCGCAAUGGGCGAAAGCCUGACGGAGCAACGCCGCGUGAGUGAAGAAGGAUUUCGGUUCGUAAAGCUCUGUUGUUAGGGAAGAAUGGAUAUGUAGUAACUAUACAUAUAA